AAUAUGGGGGGACCAUCCUCCAAGGCUAAAUACUCCUGACUGACCGAUAGUGAACCAGUACCGUGAGGGAAAGGCGAAAAGAACCCCGGCGAGGGGAGUGAAAAAGAACCUGAAACCGUGUACGUACAAGCAGUGGGAGCCUACUUGUUAGGUGACUGCGUACCUUUUGUAUAAUGGGUCAGCGACUUAUAUUCUGUAGCAAGGUUAACCGUAUAGGGGAGCCGCAGGGAAACCGAGUCUUAACUGGGCGUUAAGUUGCAGGGUAUAGACCCGAAACCCGGUGAUCUAGCCAUGGGCAGGUUGAAGGUUGGGUAACACUAACUGGAGGACCGAACCGACUAAUGUUGAAAAAUUAGCGGAUGACUUGUGGCUGGGGGUGAAAGGCCAAUCAAACCGGGAGAUAGCUGGUUCUCCCCGAAAGCUAUUUAGGUAGCGCCUCGUGAACUCAUCUUCGGGGGUAGAGCACUGUUUCGGCUAGGGGGUCAUCCCGACUUACCAACCCGAUGCAAACUACGAAUACCGAAGAAUGUUAUCACGGGAGACACACGGCGGGUGCUAACGUCCGUCGUGAAGAGGGAAACAACCCAGACCGCCAGCUAAGGUCCCAAAGUCAUGGUUAAGUGGGAAACGAUGUGGGAAGGCACAGACAGCCAGGAUGUUGGCUUAGAAGCAGCCAUCAUUUAAAGAAAGCGUAAUAGCUCACUGGUCGAGUCGGCCUGCGCGGAAGAUGUAACGGGGCUAAACCAUGCACCGAAGCUGCGGCAGCGACACUAUGUGUUGUUGGGUAGGGGAGCGUUCUGUAAGCCGUUGAAGGUGGCCUGUGAGGGUUGCUGGAGGUAUCAGAAGUGCGAAUGCUGACAUAAGUAACGAUAAAGCGGGUGAAAAGCCCGCUCGCCGGAAGACCAAGGGUUCCUGUCCAACGUUAAUCGGGGCAGGGUGAGUCGACCCCUAAGGCGAGGCCGAAAGGCGUAGUCGAUGGGAAACAGGUUAAUAUUCCUGUACUCGGUGUUACUGCGAAGGGG
rnacentral:rRNA from 1 species